CAGACCUUUCAGUCCACAUAUAUAUAGGGCUCCAACCCACCAAGCAGCCCCUUAUAAUUGCUUUGAAUUAGGGUUAGGUUUCUCCCAGUUUCGUUCCUCCUUCGAAUCAUAGAAAAUCAAACCCUAACCCAAAGCUUCAAUCAUGUCUUCCAAGCUAGGUGGAAAAGCUAAGCCUUUGAAGGCACCAAAGUCUGAGAAGAAGGAUUACGACGAGACUGAUUUGGCCAACAUUCAAAAGAAAAAGGAUGAAGAAAAGGCACUUAAGGAGCUCAGAGCCAAGGCACAGCAGAAAGGGAGCUUUGGAGGUUCUGGGCUGAAGAAAAGUGGGAAGAAAUGAAGAUUUCAAACCCAGAUAGACAUGGUUUCCUUUAGUGUAUUCUGAACAAUAUUAUGAUGAUAUCUCGUGUUUAGUGUGAUGGUCGCUGAUGUCCUAUGCUUGAUGUGUUGGUCUUCAUCUUGAACCAGAAUUACGUGAAACUUUAUAAAUUGUGUGCAUCUGUCCUCUAUCCAUGUGCCAACAAUGUAUUUGCUGGCAUUGUUGGAAACUUUGUUCUAUGUAACUCGUUUGCAAUUUGUUGAUUGCGCUUAGUAAUAAUGGUCUCCUGGGUAAUUGAUUUA